GGAAGACACUAACUUCUAUGUGCCUUUAUUUACAUGGUAUUCACACACGCAUAAAAGAAGAGAUCAAAGAACGCUGAUUGGUUGAAUAAAACAUCAGUUCUUGAUCACUAACUAAUGAAUAUCAUUUCUGAUGAUCAGGUUGGUAUCCAUGCCGCCUCCAGUACAGCGCGCGAAAAAUUGAAAACAAUUAUCAGAGUAUAAGAGCACAAGAGCAGAAUAUCAUUCUUAUUACAGAAGUAAGUGUUUAACACUAUUUACUACCACGAGAAUUUUAUAUACAUAUGUAAAAAAUGAAGGAGAUCUGAGAACGUCGUCAUUCACAUUGUAAGAAAUUGUUAAGUGAGUAAAAAGAAAGAAACGUGUACAUUAAUAUAUGGAAAUGCAACAGUUGUAUACAUAUUGUAGUAAAAGGAACAUUUCUAUGCGCAGGCUAUUCCACGCAGCUGGAACAAUCUAUAAUGUUAAAAUGAUCUAUAAUGUUAUAAUGUUAAAUGUUAAAAGGAAAAUAGAAAACAAUUUCAUUAAGAAAAAUUACACACAUGCACUACAUGAUUCAUCAUUGGAAACCAUUUAAUUUUUUUUAAUGAAAUGUUUUUCUAUUUGCUGCCGUUUUAACGCUAUGGCUUGUUCCAGUUGUAUCGAACACCUUGUAUACACACAUAUGUUACAUAAUAUAUUAUUGUUCAAAAGUACAUGGCUCGAAUGUAAUUUAUUUGCAAAACUACAAGAAUGAUGUUAUCUUUAUUAGAGCUAUUGUAUAAUAUUAUGAUACGACAAAAUAUAUUUAUAAAAAUUAAUAUCAGUAGGUAUCAAAUAUUAUACGGCUGUUUUGAUUGUCAAACUACAGAAAAGCUGGAGAUAAAGAAGAAUUGAUCGUGACAGAACUUUCAAAAAAUCAAGAACGGUACAAAAUCGCAGAGUAUGGCAUGCACAUUGUAAACACGAUUUUCUCGGUACCGCGUUCUCUGAGAUGGCCAACACGACAUAAAUUAUACUUGACCGAUAAACUUUAAAAGCAUACAUUACCAAGCGUAUCACAUUAAUUAGAAUAAUCAACAGAUCGUUUGUUUCAUUCCUUUCUUAUCUGCGAAAGAUUAUCUCGCUGGAUGACUAAGUGAUUUAAGCAAUGCGUAUCGAGUUCAGAAUUUAUACAAGGUCGUUGAUGAAAUACGGUAUCAUUUCCUGUUAACGAAUCAAUUAAUAUCUUCGAUUAAAAAAGCUUUAAAAAAUAUCACUCCACGUCGGAAUUUACUGUAAAAGGUGGGAAAUACGUUCUUUGUAUCACAUUCCACUCCAAUAAUUAAAUAAUAUGGCGUACACGGUUUAUGGGCAAUAUUUUGAUAAAAUUAAAAAGAUUUGAUAAAAUUAAAAGAUCUUUUUUCUUAAUAUCUGAAAAUAUAUUGGGAUCAUACAUUAUAGAGCAUUUACUUCCCCAACAAACACAAUAACUUAAUAUUAUACACUAUAUAUAAACUUAAUAUUUAUCAAGAUAUAAUACACAAGCCACGAUAAAGAGAUCGAAAAGUGUUUGUUGGUAAUAUUUAAUGAGCCGACAUAAAUAUUCGAAGUUGGACGCGGAAAUUGUAGCUUAAACCGUUUCUUUUUCAGCAUGCAACUUAAUAUUAACAAGAUUAAUUUCAACUUAAUAUCAACAGUUAAAUGUUACAAAUAUAGAAAAGUUACCUGUAGCUUAUAAUAAUGCAAUCGAUAGUGUUUUAUCAGGAAUGAAUUAUUAAUUAAAAAGAAUUGUUAUAUGUAUAUGUCCUCUUGCCCUGAUUCAAAUAAUGUUGUAUUCGAUGAAUUUGCGUUGAACACACAAAAAUUAGGCUUACUUUUACGCCUUUCCCGCCUUUUAAAUUCCGACUUGCCACACCAUUCGCAUCAAAUAUAUGAACAGUGUUUUAUCCAUGUACAAAUGAAUAAUUUUAACUCACUUAAACUUAUCACCACCGGUAAAAUUAACCGUGUUCAAAAUUUUGUGUACAAUUUCCUGUAUGUAACGUUAUCACAUCGCUGUUUAUUUCGACGAUCUUUCUUAAAACAUGUAUACAAUAAAUUUUUCAGUAUUUACUUCUCCUCUCAUUUUCUUUUUUUCCAAAAAAUAUACGUAGCCUCUCUUACCUACCGCGACCGAUCAAUUUGAUCAGUCGAGAAAUUUAUGAUAUUUACUUACUUAACUAUUUUCAGGCCGCAGAGUUGGACGACAUAGUGUACAAUUUUAUAAUUCGAGGAGUGAGUGAGGGAGGGAGGGAGGGAGGGGAAGAGAGAGGGAGAGAAAGAGAGAGCAUCACAGUAUAAAAGUUUUAAAGCAUUUUCUUUGCGUUAUAUGUUACAAGUGCAAAUUUGAAGAAAGAAGUAAGUGCGUAAUAUUUUGAUGUAAAUUUUCUAUUUCAUAUUUAAUGAAUUAUUCUGUAGCGAAUAUUUAUCCUAAAAAUGUCCACGCAUUGAAAAACUAUGAAGUCAUUAGACAAAAGGUAGAUAACAUGGACGAGAAGUGUUUGGAUAUUGAUGAACAGAAUCUUUCUGAAAUUGAAAAUAAAAUUGAAAAAGAUGAUGACCUAUUUGACAUAUCCAACGAAUUGACGAAUCCAGACACGGAUAAUGAAGAGAAGAGUAUCUUGAAUAAAACAAAAUGUAAAAGACAAAGGGGAAUGAGAUUAACAUUGAAGUACGAAAGUGAGUGUAAUGUAGAGGACCAACGCAUCGAAAUUGCUGCUGAUGGGACAGUUUCAUAGGAGAUAGAAGGUGGUUCCAAACCUGGAAGAGCACCAAUUCACAUAAUAUCUGUAGAGGAUUAUCAGGUCCGACAGGAUAUGCUAAACGAAAUGUUAUGAAAGGAAAAGUAGAGAUUGCAUUUUCUUUGAUCAUAGACUACCAUAUAAUGAAAAAUAUACGUGCACAGAGCGUGCACAGAAGCAGAAGCAUUUAGUUGGGGCCUAAUUAUUAUUUUUUUUUUUUUUAACUAUAAUUAAAUGCAUUUUGUUGCUCUGCUGUAUAUUCACGGGGCAUAUAAGGCAAAAGAUUUAGGCGUCUCAUAUUUGUGGAAUGGCCUUGAACAGAAAGUGAAAUUUACACAAUAGCGUAACAAAUAUAAAUGCAAAUAACUGGCCACAAUUGACUCGAGUCGUGAUGAACAACGCAAUAAUCAUUGCCUUCUCAACAAUUGCCAACAGUUAUUUGCGCAUACGCUGCUACGAAUGCAUAAUUAUUGAUAGAAUUCACUGUAGUGGUACCGACAGCUUCUUGCGAAUACCUGGGAAACCAAGAUCGACCGUCGACUAUAUAUAUAUAUAUAUAUAUAAAAUCAUCGAAAUCGGAGAGAACGUAGCUUCUUGCAGAUUCACGCAAUUAUAUUUCAAUUAUUUUUAUAAUUCGAUAUUUCAAUUCAAUUUAUAUAAAAUGUAAUUCUUUUUUAUUGCAUCAUUUAAAGAUAAUAUUUUGUCCAAUUUAUUAUGUUGACAGAAUCAUCGCCACAAAUAUUCAUAUCGCCGAAUUCUUCAUCAUGGUAGCAUGACUUCGCUCCGAUAAACCAAUGCUUUACUGGAUGCCAAGCCGCCUCCAUGUAUUAUGAAUUCUGCCUAUAAUUAUGCGUCCGUAAUAACGUAUGCAUUCGUAUUGUUUGACGGCGGUCCUGCAACGCUUGGAUACAGUGAUGACCCAGCACCAAAGUCCAAAAUUGUUGCGUGUUUUAUUUGUUAGGCUGCGAGACUUUUCCGAUUACGAAAAUAUAAGCUUGCAUGGUAGAGUUCUUAGCGUUGCGUAGUGCGGUUUCUUUGAUGACGAACGAAUUGCGAUAAGCAAUGAGUUAAAGGGCAAGCAGGGAAACGUGAAGAGGGAUCUCUACAAUAGACAUCACUGACCUAACAUAUACCUAACUCUUAUCUUUUCUUUAUAGUAUUCCGAAAUAACCGAAAUAACCGAAAAUACAAACAAAAGCUAAAGAAAUUACAAACAAAAGAGUUAGGUUUGAGUUAGGUCAUGACAUGUAUAGCCAUUGAAUAUAUUAGACAUAUCAUAUUGGAAAAUCUGACAUUUAUAAUCUUUUCGGAUCAUAAACUUAUUAUAUUUGCUUUCUAAUAAAAACUGGGAAAAUGUUCGAAAGACA